AUUCACUCCCUUUUCUCAUCCCCUACCUCAGCGAGCGCCCAAAUCAAGCCACCGGAGAAAUCACCACCGCUCCCGCCCACUCCCUUGCGCCGCCCUUUUUGCAUCCGGAUUGGGUAGAGAUGGGGCUAGAAGCCGACCGCCCACGCCGCUGGAUGCGAGGAGUAUGCAGCGGCUGUUUUGUCGCGAGGCCGGUGAUGACGGCCACCGGUGCUUCAACCAGCUAACGCCCCGGCGGGGGGCAGAUGCUACAACCGUUCGACAGAGGCGCUGGAAACGCCCAACAAAGGUGCUACGACGACAUGGCGGAGAUGCUACAUCCAAUCCACGGCGGUGCUGGGAGCUCCUGGGGACGGUGCUGCAUCCGUUCCCGGAGAAAGCUACAUCUGUUGCUGGUGAAGCUACAUCCAUUACCGACGAAAGUUUCAUCCGUCACCGACGGCCCUGCGACGACAAGCAGGAGGUGUUGGAACCAACUGGAAGAGGUGCUGCAACCGUUGCCGGGGAAGGUGUAUCCCUUGGUGGUGGUGCUGCAACCACAUUGACAUGUGCUGGAACCAGAUGGCCAGCGAAGUUGUUUUUGAUGGCAUCAGUGAUUUUUUUGCUGGAACCGGUAAUUUUUUUUGCUACUACCAGAUAGAUUUUUUGCUACAACCGGCAGCGAUGAGCUUCCUUUUGCUGGAACCAGUAAAAUUUUUUGCUACUACCAGAUAGAUUUUUUGCUACAACCAGCAGCGAUGAGCUUCCUUUUGCUGGAACCAGCUAUAGUUUUUGCUGGAGCCACCAUUCUUUUUUGCUUCCAUCAUUUUUUCUCGAAUACGCACGAGAGGGUGCGUAUCAUUCAUUAGAGAAGAAAGGGUACGAAACCCAUGUCCACC
rnacentral:rRNA from 1 species